UACGUAGGUGGCAAGCGUUGUCCGGAUUUACUGGGUGUAAAGGGCGUGCAGCCGGAGAGACAAGUCAGAUGUGAAAUCCACGGGCUCAACUCGUGAACUGCAUUUGAAACUGUUUCCCUUGAGUGUCGGAGAGGUAAUCGGAAUUCCUUGUGUAGCGGUGAAAUGCGUAGAUAUAAGGAAGAACACCAGUGGCGAAGGCGGAUUACUGGACAGUAACUGACGUUGAGGCUCGAAAGCGUGGGGAGCAAACAGG
rnacentral:rRNA from 1 species